AUGCUUCCUCCAGCAUAUAUGUACCGGCUCCUGUUCUUCCUGCUCGCAGGAGCUCUCCUGGUUUUGUGCUGGUCUCCCAUGAAGGAACCUACAAGAUCUAUAAUUUGCACCUCCUGUGGUGAAUUUGUUGACAAGACCUGCAGAAAGAAUCCAGGUUCCUGUCAAUCCAAACAUCCUGACUUUGCAUGCCAGACCAAAGAGGUGUAUAUUCAACAUUUCACUGGAGAAUACGUGUACCAAUAUUCAGUCCUGGGCUGUCCAAAGAGAUGUGUGGAAUACAUACGCUUCGCCAGGAGAGAGAAAAACAUAUUCUUCUGUUGUAAUGGCAACUACUGCAAUAGCUUGUCCGUAAAAGAUAAUGCUUCACUCAGUUCCAUCCCCCUACAGAAAUUUGCCUGAGAUACUCAGCUGAUUUGCAGAAACUUCCUUCUGACCACGUCCUGCCUGUUCCUUCCUGAACAAAUAUCAAGAUCCAGAAAUGCCUUCACUCUUAACCCCUGCUCACGCAGUCUUUUGAGAGCCGGGAAGCCAGGGAGAAAUGAGUUGUGGAUAAAGAAGGAAGGAGGUGGAUUUUGAAAUGCUGCCAGGGCCUGCGUCACAGCCAAUGGGAAAAGCAUGUGACUUUGCUGUUCUGGCUGGGAGCCAAACCUCGAGUCCGGGGACGGGGAUGGGAAAGAGGAGCAGACUGUGCUGGAACGUCUACACCCCAAAUGUGUAACAGUAACAACUCUAAUGAAUAGCAUGACCAUACACAAGGGGAAUCACAGACUAUUUUUAUGGUUGAUCAGAUAAGAAGGACGGGACACCAAGCAGAGAAUGGUCUGACAAAGGUCCCUAAAUUAUUUCCUAAAUCCUGUUAGGUCCCAGAUACUCUAGGCCUGGGUAUGUUCCAGAAAUAGGGUGCCCUAACAAAAACGGCCUGGCUUUCUGCAAGGGGAUCCUCUGCCUUGGGGCUGGUUAGGAUGGGGAGGUAUGAUGAGGAAAGUGGAAGGAAAAGUUUCUGGUUAUUGUAGUACUUAAGGAACACAAAUUCUGAAGAGGAUUGCUUGAGUUUGACCCUCACUCCAACUACCUUUCCCUAGAGGUUGCCAAGUAACAAGACAGCUCUUCCCCAGAAGUGCAUGUUGGUCACAUUUUUAAUAUCAGUCACCCAUAAUUUACUAUUAGCUCUGUGAAAAGAGAAAUCCUUUGAUGCUCAACUGAAGUCAUGUGUUCCUUUGACUCAUGAUCAGCUAAUAUUUUGGCUGAUUUUUUUUGAAUGCCAGAAGCUAAACAACAAACACACAAAAAGCCAACACACACACACACACACACACACACACACCCAUCUCUUCUAGUCUUUGCAGAAGUGGCUUUUCCACACUUGGAAAUUGGCCUUUCCUUCCACACUUAGCUCGGCUUGUUCUGAGCCUAGCAGUCAACCCAAAGUGAAAGCUUAAGGUCUUCUUAGUUGUUUCUGAAUGUGUGUUUUGCCUUGGUUAUGUGUAUAUGUGUGUGACUUUGGAAAUUCACCUGCAUAUACGCCUGUUUCUUUUCUUUUUUUUUUUGGAGACAGAGUUUUACUCUUGUUGCCCAGGCUGGAGUGCAGCAGUGUGAACUCGGCUCACUGCAACCUCUGCUUCCUGGGUUCAAGUGAUUCUCCUGCCCCAGCCUCCAAAGUAGCUGGGAUUACUGGCGCUCACCACCAUGCCCAGCUAAUUGUUGUAUUUUUAGUAGAGACGAGGUUUCACCACGUUGGCCUGGCUGGUCUUGAACUCCUGACCUCAGGUGAUCCAUCCGCCUGCUUCUUAAUUUUCAAAUUUUCCUAAGAAUCACACCGCAGCAUUUCCUCCAGGCCUUAAAGUCUUUUGUAUGUCUCAACCUGUAAUCGCUUGCCCCACAGGUCUGUGGGUCUUUAGUCUCCCUUGCAGUAUUUACAAGCAUUGCCCACUCCUGUUCCUGCUGGAGUCCUGAGCUCGGUGAAACACAUGUGAACAACUCACAUCAGUCCUUCAGGUAUCCCUCUGACAAGUUAUAAUAAACGUACACAAUAAUUUGAAAAUAAGGUUUUCUCUGCUCCCUCUGGCUUGAGCGGGAACUGGGAACUGGCCUGCUGCUGCUUCAAGACCUAGACGGCUGCCUUGCUGGGGAAGGGCUGGGAAAAGGGUGAGUAAAAAUGCUACAAAAUUUUUCUACCAUUUUAAAGACUUUUUUGUUUUUGAGACAGCAUCUCACAUUUGUUGCCCAGGCUGGAGUAUAGUGGCGUGAUCACAGCUCACUGCAGCCUUGACUUCCUGGGCUCAGGUGGUUCUUCCACCUCAGUGUCCCAAGUAGCUGGGACUAUAGCCACACACCACUACGACCAGCUAAUUUUUUGUAUUUGUAUUAGAAACAGGGUCUCAUCAUAUUGCCCAGGCUGUUCUCAAACUCUUGGGCUCAAGUGAUCCACCUGCCUCAGCCUCCCAAAGUGCUGGGAUUACAGGUGUGAGCCACCACGCCUGGCCAGAUUUUUUUUUUUUCUUGAUAGGGCAUUUACUUGGUUUCUGUAAACCAUUGACCAUUUUCCAGAGCCCCAACAUAGUUGGUUCUGACAAGUUAUGCUUGUUUUUUAAUGAUUCUGUAAGGCAACAAGGGCUUAGAGCUUCCUAGGUUGCCACUGUAUAAAUUCAUUCGCUAAAACAAAGCCGCUUUAAACAAUCAAUACAUUUUCAGCUAAAUAACACUAGAAGUCCAACAGGAUAUAGGACCGUAAGGAUGGCGUAAUCAGCAUCUCUGACUCUAUUUUUCUGGGAUUCUUCUAGGUCUGUUUUUAUUUCUGGAUGGGUUCAGACUUCUUUGCCUUCCUUCAUCACAGCAAAAUCUCUUUGGCAGUUCUGGGUCCCACACCUGAGCCCUACAGCACCCAGAGGAAGAAAUUCUCCAUGUUCCUAGUCUGUCAUCCAAACCCAGGGGAUUAACCCUAAUUCAGUGGUGCUUACACUUGGGUCUGUGACUUCAAAAGAUCUGUAAAUUGUCUUAAUUUAAUUUAAUGUAACUUAAUUUAGGAGAGCUAAGUAAUUAAACAUGAGGCCAAAGUACAUAAGAAAGCGGCAGCCCUUUAUUGCAAAUAUGCACACACUCUCGGGGGAGGUUCUCUGGUCCUCAGGUGUGGGGGUGAGGGGAGCCAGGGAAGUCGCGCCACCGCUCUCAGGUGAGACUCCCCGGCCCACGAAUGCGGAGGCCGAAGAAGUCAUGCGGGUUCCUGCCGCAGCGAACUUUUAUGCAUUGGUACUGGAAGGGGGCGGGCAGUGGGCGGGAUGAGGGCGUGUCGGGGGCGUUCCCUAGGUGCGGCCAGGUAAGUCUCGGUCUCUUCGGAUUGACGUCACCUGGCGCAUGCUCGGUUGAUCUGCAUCUUCCUGGGCGCCGGCUGCAUUUUCCCGUGCGCGGGUAAGUUGGUGAUGAAGAACCUGGAAACAACAGGUACUGCUCCAUCUUGUUCACCUUCCUCCAUUUUGUCCCUUCUCCCUCACCCAAACAUAAAUUUUCUGAAAUCAUAAUGUAACUGUAUUUCAGGUUCAGUCACUUGCCAGUUGCAGAGUCCAAUUAACAAAAGCAAGGUCUGGUAUAAAGAAAGUGACUUCGUAUUCCAAAUCUAGCUUAAGGAAAGAAGUACGGGAUUCCUCCCUUAAGGGUGCUGCUUCAGUUUUGGGGCAAAAAGCAGGGGCUUUUAAAGAGGAGAACUUGACACGAAUGGCAUGCAGGGGCGGGUGCGCACAGGUGGGGGUCUGCAUGACUCGCUUUGAUGCCUUAUCUGCUGGGUGAUUGAACGGGUGCCAUCAUGGGUAGAAGUAAGUUAUAAAGUGGCUGUUGUCUCAAGAUACUCUCCAGGUAGGAGAGAGUUUCAUAGCAGCCACAUUUUAGGUUGUAAAUCGACUAUUGUCUCUUGAAGCAAUGUCCUGGUGGGAGAAGUUUCUGCCUCUGGUGCUUUUAAGUAAGCAGCGGUUAAAUAAACUUGCCCUGUAGGGGUGUCUAGUGAAGGGAAGAUAAAGGUUAUAAUUGCAUUUCUAAAGAGAUAAGUAGGAAGUGGGGAACUGAAGAGAAGGAGGAAAGAGAAAAGAAGAAAAACAAUAAUGUAAAACCCUCAUUCUCUUUCUCUUAGAAAAAUGGGGGUGCUUGUUUAUAAUUAGACUCUGAUUAGUCCAGCUUGGGUCACAUGCCUAUCUCAAAACAAACUGGAAAUCCAAAAUGUGGUGAUGCUUUGAGCCAUGGUCUGUUUCUCCCGUGAAGACUGGAAUGACAUACCAUACCUCACCUGGAAUGACAUGGGUCCUGGAUAUCAAUCUGACAUCACUGGGAAGAGAGAAGGGAAAUCAUUCCUGGGUCCUACAGGGUUGCCCACUGCAUGCUCCUACAUACUUAUCCAAAUGGAGAAGUAGCCUGCUUGACUUACUGUCCUGGAUGAAAGAAACAAGUCACAGACAGAACCUCCAUUUUUAAAGUGACCUUUGAUAAUCUCCAUUCUGGCCAGUUUUCUGUUGAAGAAUACCCUAACAGUUUCACAAAUCUAGGACAAUCUCAGUAUGUACAUAAAAUGGGACGCUAAAUUUGGAGAAAAUAAAGAAGAAAAAAGUAAAAAAAGAAUAAAGAAGAAAGCAUAUCACCCAACACUUGGCUUCAAUCUCUCAUAGCAGCUUUAUCUUCUUAUAUUCCUUCUACUCUCCACACUUCUUACCCCCUCAUGUGUGUCAGUGCCUUAGCACAUGUUAAAAAGUAUGUUUGGCAUUUCCUUCCCUUUUGCUCUGACUGGUAGGUUUUUAUUCCUUCUUUAAGAUUCAGUUAAAUAUCAAUCUUCUAUGACCCCUUCUCCAGCUAAUCCAAGUAAGCAGAAUAAUGGCAUCCUUUGGGUUCCCCAAGCAGACUCUUCAUUCCUCUGUUUGAGCACUUAAUCUUAUUGAUAUGUGAUGAUUCAUUGUGAUGGCAUUUACCCCACUAGAUGAUCUAGAUUCAAUCUCCUGUGUAAUCACUGCAGUGUCUGGAACAAAUUGGAUGUUACAUAACUGUUUAUGUUAGUAAUUGAAUAAAUUACAGUAACA
ensembl:lincRNA